rnacentral:rRNA from 1 species
ACGAAGGGGGCUAGCGUUGUUCGGAUUUACUGGGCGUAAAGCGCACGCAGGCGGCGCCAUUAGUCAGAGGUGAAAUCCCUGGGCUUAACCUGGGAAUUGCCUUUGAUACUAUGGUGCUGGAGUCCAGAAGAGGAUGGCGGAAUACCCAGUGUAGAGGUGAAAUUCGUAGAUAUUGGGUAGAACACCGGUGGCGAAGGCGGCCAUCUGGUCUGGUACUGACGCUCAUGUGCGAAAGCGUGGGGAGCAAACAG